rnacentral:rRNA from 1 species
CCCACAGGCCGUAAACCCAAGGUUUCCAGGGGAAGGUUCGUCCGCCCUGGGUUAGUCGGGACCUAAGCUGAGGCCGAAAGGCGUAGGUGAUGGACAACAGGUUGAUAUUCCUGUACUACCGAUAACCGGUUGAGAGAAGGGAUGACACAGUAGGAUAAGCUAAGCACACUGUUGGUUAUGUGUGCCCAAGCAUUGAGGCAGUCAAAGUAGGCAAAUCCGCUUUGAUAAUGCUGGGAUG